UAGCCCUGGGGGCACAUCUACUAAAACUGGAAUGAUACAGAGAAGAUUAGCAAGAUUAGCAAUGACAUGCAAAGUCAUGAAGUGUGUCAUAUAUUU
rnacentral:snRNA from 1 species